UGUCCUUACCCUCUCUGAGUCUCCUGUUCCUUAAUCUGGAAAAUGUUCUUGCUGCUGAUGCUCACAUUCUGAAGGACUAUUCUUUUUUUUUUUUUUUGAAGGACUAUUCUGACUUAGUGGUUAAAAGCCCAGGCAAAUUUGCAUCCACAUUCUGACUCUCCCACUUCCUAGCUGUGCUAACUCAGGCAGGAACCUCCUCUUCUCUGUGACAACGUUGGGGGGAAGAUAUCAGUCCAAUUACACAGGGCAGUUGGGAAGAUUCCCAGUCAAGGUGUGUGGCCACUGCUCUAAGAACUUUGCACAAAUCCCAGCGUAUUUAAGUCUUAAGCAUGGUUUCAUGGGUAGGUAUUAUCAUCAGUCCUAUUUUGCAGAAAAGGAAAUCGAGGCUCAGUGAGCUUGCCUGGCAUCACACAGCUACAAAGUUUUGAAGCAGGUAAUUUGAAGCCAGGCAGUCAAAGAUGCUUCCUUAGCCAUUUAUCUCUCCUGACUCGAAAAGAGUGGAUUCUUGGAAAUGCUUUCUAGCCUCAGUUUUCCAACCUGUAAAAUGGGGGUUCAAAUAGUAUGGCUGGAUGGAGUGUUGAAGAAUUUGACGGGCUCUGGAGAUGAGUUGUUCUUCAGGUCAGUGGGGAAGAGACUGGGAGGGGCAGGGCAAGAGGGCAAGUGGGCAGGCUCAAGAGGGAGGUUGGCUAGGACUGAGCCCUGCUCUCCUUCUUCCCAGCCUGGGGACCUCAGACUUGAGUGUUCUCCAGUAUGAGCCUCAGUCUCACCGUCGGUCAACUGGAGUCUUAACAGUGCUCCCAGUGUGGCUCAGAGUCGAAGACGAAAGCAGGCACUGGAGAUGGGGCAGUGAACAAAAUAGCCAGCCAUUCCUGACCUCGGGAGCUCAUGUUCCAGGGAGGAAGAGGAUAAAAAGCAAAAGAAGUAACAUAUAGUCUGUUGGCAUGCUGUUGGAGUCACCUUGGUUAUUGAUGGGAUCUAGGUGAG